UGACGAGUUUGAUCCUGGCUCAGAUUGAACGCUGGCGGAAUGCUUUACACAUGCAAGUCGAACGGUAGAGGGGGCAACCCCUUGAGAGUGGCGAACGGGUGAGUAAUAUAUCGGAACGUGCCCAGUCGUGGGGGAUAACGUAGCGAAAGUUACGCUAAUACCGCAUACGAUCUAUGGAUGAAAGCGGGGGAUCGAAAGACCUCGCGCGAUUAGAGCGGCCGAUGCCUGAUUAGCUUGUUGGUGGGGUAAUGGCUCACCAAGGCAACGACGGGGUAGCCGGCCUGAGAGGGCGACCGGCCAC
rnacentral:rRNA from 1 species